rnacentral:tRNA from 2 species
GCGCCUUUAGCUCAAUUGGUAGAGCACUUGACUCUUAAUCAAUAGGUUCCGGGUUCGAGUCCCGGAGGGCGCACUA